GGAAAGGUGGCAGAGUGGUCGAAUGCGCCGGAUUCGAAAUCCGGUGUACGGUCAACCCGUACCGUGGGUUCAAAUCCCACCCUUUCCG
rnacentral:tRNA from 1 species